UCUAUCAAAGCACCAAUAAUGCAAAAAUAUGUGUUGCAGCAAUCCAUUUGUUUUAAGUCCGUAGUCUCUAACGUAAACAAAAUACAAAGUGUAAUUUUAGCAAGCAGAAUGAGUUGUGCUGGCAGCCACUGGGGAGAGUUUCAGGAUGGUCAAGGCAGCAGCAAUGAUGACUGGAGUCUCAGUGGCUCUGACAUGGAAGACCUCCUUACCCCAAAGCCACCACCGCCAAACCCACCAACCCUUCACCAGCCAUCUCAGGAGGAAACAUCAUCAUUUCAAAUACUUCCUUCAGAAUUUUGUCGCACAGACCCCUUAGUUUUACAAACAAUCAAACUACUACAGUAUCAAAGACAGGUUGCCCAGCUUAUAAACAGAGCACAGAGUAUAGGCAUGGAGGGGAAUAGCUUCCCGUCUUGCCCCGCGCCUCCUGAUGAUCCUGUGCUUGAUCGUAAAACAGCAAAACCACACUUCCUCUUCUUUAUUCCUCCUGAGAAAACGCCAUACACAAGUGGGAAGAAUGAGGCACAGUUACUUGAGGUGGAAGGCACAGCCGCACGUCUCAUUUUGAGGAAAGCCAUUGCAACGAUAUGUGCGCACACAGGGUACACUGACACAUCGGAGAGUGUACUCAGAUUUCUCACAGAUGUUCUCCAUGAAUUUCUAACAAAGCUGACCAAUUUACUGCGUGCUAAUACAGAUUCCCUUCUCUUGACAGACAGGUGUCCUUUUCAUGAUGUUAUGGAGCAAAGCCUUCAUGACAUUGGUAUUGGCAGCAUGAAUGAAUUGCACCAAAUGUAUCGUGAACGUGUGAUUCUGUAUCAUGCCAGAGUCAAGCAGGAGAGCUUUCAGUUGUAUCAUCAGUACCUUGCUCUUACACAAAAUAAGGAAGGCUGUAUUGCAACACCUGGGUCUCGAAGGGAGAGCACAGGGGACUGGUGGGGAGAUGAGUGUGGCAGUCAACAUGGAGGUCCAAGUGGCACCUCUGCACCAGGACUGGAUGAUGCCUCAGUCCCAUCUAUUAAAAGUACCUCAAGUUUGGAUCCUGAGUUGUCACUCCAUCCAUUCUCUGUACUGAGCCAGUGAGUUAUGAGGAGGUUGAACAUUACUGUCUAAUAUGGCAUAAGUACGACAGAAGAGUCGGAGGUGAUGGAGAAGAAGGGGUCCAGCACUCACCUGCCACCACACAACAAUACCAGCUAUACCCUCUCACACCCAGAUAGAUAUGAUUACUACAUUUUGCCUGUAUAUAAUCAGUGCAAAUUCUUGCCUUAAGAUUUGCAAUUUCUUCUCAUCAAAGUUAUUGUAUUUAAACUUUUAUAUUCUGAUUCUUAUUCUUAUUUAUAACUAAUUAUUAUUAUUAUUAUUAUUUUUCAUUAUUGUAAGUUAUUUUUUGGUUUAGAUGUGCCUAUAUUGACACACAAAACUUUUGAGUUCCAUAAUUCUAUAACUUAAAUUUGCUGUCUCCUGAAUUAUAGUGCUAUAAUUCAAUGCUAUAAAAAAAAUCAUAAUUCCCAGUUCCGUCUGAUUUUACAGUAUUUGUUUCAUACCAGUGAUUCUCAUAUAUGGUACAUUGUGGAGGAUUUAUCCAAUAUGUAAUAUUGUAUUAAAAUCUGAAAUUUUCUCAGGAUUUCCAGGUUUCUUAGUUUAUGUAAUAUUUUGAUUGACAUUAAAAGAAAACAAACUUGGUUCUCGUAUCAAAAUAUUAUAUUUUUCCCAUUUAUAAGUAUAAUUGACCAAUGUAUAAGAUAAACUAAAUAUCACAAGUGCAAGCAAUAAACUACUAGAGUCUGAAGACAAAGAAUUCAUGCCUGGAUUUCAAGCUGUAUCAAUGAAUAUGUAGAACUAUCAUUUUAUAGACUGAGGAUUCAGGACCAAAAACAAAAAUGUCAAAAUCUUAUGGUUGAACAUAGGAACUCAAAGUGAAAACUCUCACGUCUUACAUCUCAAAACACUUUCAUAUAUUCAUGUCACUGCUAUUUAAAAAUCACAUUCUGCAAACUAAAUUUUUUUUACUAAGGUUUCUUUCUACAAGUCAAAUGGAAAUCGUCAUCAUCCUAGAGACAUGCUGCUUGAUUGGGAAAUAAGUAAAUAAUUUGGCAUUUUUUUGCGUUCAGUCUUCCUUUAUGUCGUCUUAUAUGUGGAUUUUUGUGUGUACAUUCAAAAUGAUGUGUUAAUCUCAAUAAACAAAUACUCAGAAAAAGA
rnacentral:misc_RNA from 1 species